CGGAGGGUGCAAGCGUUAUCCGGAUUCACUGGGUUUAAAGGGUGCGUAGGUGGGUAAGUAAGUCAGUGGUGAAACCUCCGGGCUUAACCCGGAAACUGCCAUUGAUACUAUUUGUCUUGAAUACUGUGGAGGUCAGCGGAAUAUGUCAUGUAGCGGUAGAAAUGCAUAGAUAUGACAUAGAACACCAAUUGCGAAGGCAGCUGGCUACACAAAUAUUGACACUGAGGCACGAAAGCGUGGGGAUCAAACAGGAUUAGAUACCCUGGUAGUCCACGCCCUAAACUAUGGAUACUCGACAUUUGCGAUAAACUGCAAGUGUCUGAGCGAAAGCAUUAAGUACCCCACCUGGGAAGUACGAUCGCAAGAUUG
rnacentral:rRNA from 1 species